GCAAGCGGGGAGCGCGGCAGGGAGCGGCCCUGGCUGCGGGGUCGCGGCCAGUGGGGAGGUGGUGCAGGGCGCAGGACCGCUCAGGAUCCCAGGUGGACUCUGCGCUCCCGAAACCAGGAUCAUCACAGCUGACCCACGGGGAGACUGAAGGAGGAGGGCAUCCGGCCAGUUUGGCUAUUGCAGUUGUGUGUUGUCCCUGAGCAGCAGGGAGGCUCACAGAGGCUACAUGAGGAGAAAUUAGAGUGUCUGUCCCCUCAUCCAGACAUUUUGCAAACAGGAUAUGGCAGGAUCAGCCAUUGCAGCAUUUCCGUAGAAGCCAGCCCCACCCACAGAUACAGGGUGAACCUCAGAGGGGUGGGGAAGCGGGU